ACGGUGCAAGGUUGUUAGCCUUGCGACCAACCCCCAACCUGGAGGACCAGGGUACCUGUCUUAAGUUGCUUGUGUGUAGUAAUAAUUGUACCAAUGUGUGUAAUAUCCUAUCAUAGACGUUAAAUUUUCUUGCUGUUGAGUGUAUUUUGUUUACAGAAGUUCCUACACAUAUUGAAAUUCAGUGUUUUGUCAUCUUUUCUGUACACUGUUUAGUACUCCUUUGUAAUAAAUUUAAAAGUUAUUUCCUAGGUGUAAGGGACUGAUUCUUCUGGAGACGUAUACCACCUCAGAAGAUUGCAAUGUUCAGAAAAGCUUGCCACAGUUUCUUACUAUUGUUGAAGAAGUGACUGGCAAUCCACUGUACUCCAUGUUCAACCUUUCUUUGCGUGAAGAAUGGACCACUACGAAAAAGUUCUGUCAUGCAUUACAAGGUCCUGAUGAAGAAGCAUCUGUUGCUGUUAAAACAAAUGGAGUCAAAGGAGGACUUGUGACUAAUGGUAUUUAAAUUACUUCAGCUCAGGAUGAGUGCAUGUAAGGUAUGAAUUCCUUGUUGGAUUGAAGUGUGAAAUCUUUAAUUCCUUGUUCUUUAAUUUAUUUAGCAGUAGUUGGUAGUGUGCUUCUUGUGUUUGGGAAGCUGUUGUAUAAAUAUGUAUUCUUUUGGUAUUGCAAAAUUUGAGUUGAGAGACAAAACUGUUUAGUCUGUACUGGGCAUAAAACAUUUAGAUGACUUUCACUUUUUAUAGUUGAUGCAAUAUCUCACUGUCUUACAAGUUAUUUUGUACUCCAGCUCGACAUUGACUCAGUAUUGUUCCUUCAUUUUUUCUGUUCCUUCAUUUUAUAACCAACAUUUUAUUUAUUACGGUAAUUCCAUACUUAACAGCAAAACUGAAUUAUGGGACUUGUUUAAAAUUGAUUUCUAACUCAUUAUUCUAUGUCAGUUUGCGGUUUCUUGCGUGUACUUCAGUUUGUAGCAGGAUAUAAUUGUGUGAAAAGGGAAGUAAUAGAAAUUGCGCCGUUUUAUAAAAUUCAAUGGGCAAUAUCGAUAUACCAAUCAAUUUGUGUGUUGUGUUGUUUUCAUAUGACUGGAUUUUGUCAGUUACAGCGGAACUUGAAUACUGCUGUAGUAUGAGUUCAUAAGUUUGUUUACCUGCGUAUAAAAAUCCAGACACAAGAUGUAUUGAAUGCUUUUAGUCGGAGAUAUUCCCAAAGUUUUGUGUUUCAAUUGCCAGUAAAAAAUAAAAAUGUCAUAUUCCGGCUGCAACUUUAUCUGAUGUUCAAAUAGAAGUAAAGAAACAGGAAAAGUAAUUUAUAAUAAUAAUAUGGUGUUCUGCAGGUUGGUCAGUAUUUAAUGUUUUGUUCAAACUGAUUAGUUUGUUGACUGGUUAAAUCUGCUGUUCACUUGUUUAACUCAUCGAGUUCCAAAGGUGCUUGACGAUUUGAAGGGGUUUUAAGUAUCUUUAUUUGUCUCGUGUCUGAAACAAAAAGUUUGAUUUUUUUGGGUACCAUUUGACAUCCUUUACAGGAUUACUUGCAUGUUCUUCUCUAGUCAAUUGGUGGUUUUACUUCUUAUUUGUAAUGUUAAAAUUUAAUCAUAUUUAUAAAUGCUUGAUUCAGGACACUGGCCAUAUAUAGACUGUUUAAAAUAGCUCUGAGCAUGUCACAAAUUUGUAAGAAUUAAAUUCAACUCAAGACUCCCAUUUUCAUACGCAUUGCCACGAGAAACUGAAAUCUCAACUCAAUAAUAUUACGAUUUAAAAAUAAAAAAUUGUCAUUCUUUUGUAUAUACUAACUUGGCAUUUUGUUUACAAAAAUCAUCACUGUAGGAAAAAUGGACUAAGUACUUAAGUACAGUAAGGAUGAUAACAUUUUGAGCACUGUGAAAUAUCUGUUUGAAGCACAGAGAGGAAACAAUAUAAGUAGAAGCAUCAAAUUUCAGAAAGAGGACUGGAACUUAGUAUGGAGGCAUUUCUGGACCCAUGUUUAUAGGAACUCUCCAUUGUUUUGGCAUAAACCUUCCUCUUACAUAUGCGCCAUAUCUCUGUUACACCCAUAUAUUUUGCCUUGUAUGAUUGUGUACUUACCACAUGUAAUAUGGUGCUUAAUUUUCAAAAAAAACAUUAUAGUUUACAGAAUAAUAAGAAAUUUUCAAGUAUUUUGAGUGCAAAUUAGGCAUUAACUAACUCAUGGAGCAGACAUUGACAAUACUGAAAUUAUUACGUGUUUCAGUUGUGGAAGUUUAGUAAACUUCAUAAAGUUGUAUCUUGUUGAAGUAGGGAAAACAGUAUUCUUUGCAUUCAAAUACAAUAUUUAGAACAUUUAAAAGUAAUAUAAUGUGUACAAUUAUUGUGUUUGACUUCUCCAUUGUCAAACUGUUCCUCAAUUUAAACCGUAACAUUUCGGAAGCGCGUAUCGCGUGUCUGAUACAAAGCGUUUUAAAUGUUUGUCUGUUGCGUAGUUGAAAUUAAUCCAUUCCCACUUGGCAUUCAAUAACUCUGCACAUCGCUGUGUGGUGUGUCAUGUACAGGUGAUCUGAUUUUUUCCCCUAUUAAGUCCUUAUGGUAUCUGUAAGAAUUGUACUCUUCGGUGUACAGUAAAGCUGAGGUAAGCAUAAUACUAUAUAUCAAUGUUUAAACCUGUGUGCAAGUUUAAAUGAAACAGGCAUUUUUUAAUAAAAAAAAAGAGCAUAAACAUGUUCAUUUGAUAUUUAAUUUUCUCUUGAAUUCUGUAGUGCAAAUAGUGGCCAUUGUCAAGGAUACAAGCAUUUAGAGGUGUAUUAUUUUUAUUGUACUUUUUCUUUCAUCAGGCACACAAGUCCCUUAUGAUGGGAAGUACUUUAUGUUAUGUUUAUUGUACAUACAUUUACUUAUUAUUUACAGGUACUGAGGCUUAAACUGUAGCUUUAAUUGAUUUAAAAUGUAUUCAUAUCUUAAUUUAUAAAACUAAUUAAUUAACAAAUUUAAUUAGUUGAUAUAUUUCAGAACGAAUCUAAACAUAUGAUGUUCAGAUCCACUUCGUGAACUUGUAAAAUUCACACUAAUGACAGUAAUUCAGUAUUCAUAUAAAUAUUCUUUAACUGGUAUUAUUUGUGGAAUUCCCCCAAUUGUAAUUGUUAUAUUAGUCUUUCUUACACUAGGCAAGUAUUCCAGCUAUUUAGUUGUAUGUUAAGUUAGGUACUUACAUUGUAUUUUUGUCAUUCAAUUUGAAUAGUGGUUAGCUGGGUUACCAAUAAUUUAUAAAAAUGUACCUGUUAAUUUACAUAGAGCUGUAUUAGGUUAAAUAAUGUUCAAAUAAUGUAUGUUGAUAUGAUACUGCAGGAAUUAUUUAAAAAUUAAUUUACAUCUUAAUGUUAUGUGUCAUAAUGAGGUUAUUUGGUAUGGAAUUAUUACUCCUUGAAGAUUUGAGAAUGUGUCUGUGUGUGUGUAAACAGCAAACAUACAUUAUAAGGACAUAUUAUUUAACUUUUUCCUGCCAUGAAUGAUAGAAUUGUUACCAUCAGUAUUAUGCAAGUAAGAAACAUAUAUAUACACACACAUGUAUUGUUCUUAAAUUUACAAAAUUGCUAUUUUGUUACCCUUCAAUACAUUGUCAAUGAUACGCAGAAUGAGGUAUAUUUUUUCAAUGUUUCUUCAGAUGAUAAGUUUCUUUUGAAACAGAAUGUUAUUUCAUAUAUGUAAUUUGCUCACAGCCCACAACCAUGUUAUGGGUAUGUGCCUCUCGAGACGGUGAUUAGUGCGAUACGAAUGUUGAAGCUAACAUUGUGGCCUGAAGGAACUGAACAAACUUAAUUAUGAUCUCUGUAUAGAAGUAUACUUAUAAAGAGUGUGCUUGUUCAUUUCAUGUUAAAUGGAAAUAUAGAUGAUUGAACAAGGGA